CGUUGUAAAUGGCUCAAUCUUGACCAGAUUGGUGAUCAAUGAAUCUGGCUCUAUCCAACGGCUCACAUCGCAUGAAGACGAGGUUCGAUGGGAUGAGUUCUAGUAUGCGCCUAAGCUCUGUUUGGGUGGGGGUGAAGGAAUGGUAAAUAAAGCGCCUAAGGACCAGUGUGACAGCUAUGAAUUAUGUGGAGCCUUUGGCAACUGUGUUCUGUACGAUGAUGUAUUCG
rnacentral:misc_RNA from 1 species